GCGGGGUGUUGUUUCAGCCUUCCAAGCUGAAUACCCGGGUUCGAUUCCCGGUACCCGCU
rnacentral:tRNA from 1 species